AGAGUCUUCUGUGGACCUGAGAGUCUGGGU
rnacentral:piRNA from 1 species